AAUCAACGCUGGCGGCGUGCCUCAGACAUGCAAGUCGAACGAUUAAACUUCCCUUCGGGGAAGAUAUAAAGUGGCGCACGGGUGAGUAACACGUAGGUAAUGUACCUUUGGGUGGGGAAUAACUUAGGGAAACUUAAGCUAAUACCGCAUAAUGCAGCGGCUCCUUCGGGAGACAGUUGUUAAAGAUUUAUCGCCUAAAGAGCAGCCUGCGGCAGAUUAGCUAGUUGGUAAGGUAACGGCUUACCAAGGCUACGAUCUGUAUCCGACCUGAGAGGGUGGUCGGACACACUGACACUGAAUAACGGGUCAGACUCCUACGGGAGGCAGCAGUCGGGAAUUUUGGGCAAUCGGCGAAAGCCUGACCCAGCAACGCCGCGUGAAGGAUGAAGUCUUUCGGGAUGUAAACUUCGUAAGAAUAGGAAGAAUAAAUGACGGUACUAUUUGUAAGGUCCGGCUAACUACGUG
rnacentral:rRNA from 1 species